rnacentral:rRNA from 1 species
UACGGGGGGGGCAAGCGUUGUUCGGAAUUACUGGGCGUAAAGCGCACGUAGGCGGCUUUGUAAGUUAGAGGUGAAAGCCCAGGGCUUAACCCUGGAAUUGCCUUUAAGACUGCAUCGCUAGAAUCGUGGAGAGGUAAGUGGAAUUCCGAGUGUAGAGGUGAAAUUCGUAGAUAUUCGGAAGAACACCAGUGGCGAAGGCGACUUACUGGACACGUAUUGACGCUGAGGUGCGAAAGCGUGGGGAGCAAACAGG